rnacentral:lncRNA from 1 species
AAACGCGACAGAAUCCCAGGAAAUGUCUGAUUCGACUUCUUCUAGUACAGUCCAGGGGUUCACUACAAAACAAAUACAACAGUUGGCUCAAGCAAUUCGUGCAUUAAAUCACAGUAAUUCCGAUAAUAUUGACGCAUAUGCAAAUGCUGCAGGUUUGAUUCCAUCAACUCUUGUGUCUGUUAAUUCUAGUAGUACAAGUUCUUGGAUUUUGGAUACAGGUGCCACGGAUCACAUCGUUUCUCACAUG